rnacentral:lncRNA from 1 species
CUAAAGGAAUUGACAAAGGGAUUGUGACCUGAUGCUUCACAAUGAGAACCCUGUUGUGAUUAAAUGGUUAAGUUGAAAGUUAAUGGAAGCUGCAAAGUGUUUGCCUUCUGUAUCUGCAAUGGAAACUCCACCUGCUGUCUUCUUGGUGUUUUUGUUCCUUGUCUUUAAGACCUGGUCUCAAAUUCAGAAGUUCAAUACCAGCGUCAGUUUGACUUGACACAAUCUAUGGUUGUAGUGUAUUGAUUUCACAAAUUGAACCUAUGAAAUGAAACUCUGUCAUCAAGAAGCUAUUGGACACCUAUAUGGACAUGCAUUUACCUCUCUGUCCAGUGCAAUUAAUUAUAAAUGUCUGUGGAAGAAUAGAGAGAGGAGGGAGGAAAGGAAGAGUAGAUUGUUCUGUGUCUUUCAGAGAAGUCAUGGCUGAUAUGCCUGGAGAAGCUGUCCUUGCCAGCCCAGAAGUAGAUGAUGCUCGUUCCACUGUAUGAGAAAACUCUGGAAAAGAGAAUGAUAAUUAAAAUUCUUUCUGCUCAGAUGAGGAAAAACAUAAGCAAGCAGACAAACAAAAGCCAAUCAAGCAUACCUUGAAGACACUGUGGAU